rnacentral:rRNA from 1 species
GACAGAGGGUGCGAACGUUGUUCGGAAUUACUGGGCGUAAAGCGCAUGUAGGCGGCAGCGCAAGUCGGGCGUGAAAUCCCACGGCUCAACCGUGGAAGUGCACUCGAAACUGCGCAGCUAGAGUCCUGGAGAGGAAGGUGGAAUGCUUGGUGUAGAGGUGAAAUUCGUAGAUAUCAAGCGGAACACCGGUGGCGAAGGCGGCCUUACUGGACAGUCGACGUGACGGCUGAGACGCGAAAGCGUGGGGAGCGAACGAGGAACUUGAUGAAAGACCCCC